AGCUUGCUUCAAUUGCCGGCGACCGGCGCACGGGUGAGUAACGCGUAUCCAACCUUCCGUACACUCAGGGAUAGCCUUUCGAAAGAAAGAUUAAUACCUGAUGGUAUGAUGAGAUUGCAUGAUAGCAUCAUUAAAGAUUUAUCGGUGUACGAUGGGGAUGCGUUCCAUUAGGUAGUAGGCGGGGUAACGGCCCACCUAGCCAACGAUGGAUAGGGGUUCUGAGAGGAAGGUCCCCCACAUUGGAACUGAGACACGGUCCAAACUCCUACGGGAGGCAGCAGUGAGGAAUAUUGGUCAAUGGACGAGAGUCUGAACCAGCCAAGUAGCGUGAAGGAUGAAGGUCCUACGGAUUGUAAACUUCUUUUAUAAGGGAAUAAACCCUCCCACGUGUGGGAGCUUGUAUGUACCUUAUGAAUAAGCAUCGGCUAACUCCGUGCCAGCAGCCGCGGUAAUACGGAGGAUGCGAGCGUUAUCCGGAUUUAUUGGGUUUAAAGGGAGCGCAGACGGGUCGUUAAGUCAGCUGUGAAAGUUUGGGGCUCAACCUUAAAAUUGCAGUUGAUACUGGCGUCCUUGAGUGCGGUUGAGGUGUGCGGAAUUCGUGGUGUAGCGGUGAAAUGCUUAGAUAUCACGAAGAACUC
rnacentral:rRNA from 1 species